GAUAAGGAAACAUGGGUUUUGGUAGAACAAGGUGGCCUAGCAGCGUGUUUUCCUCUAAGUUUUGCACCCUGUCAGACCAUACUUGUUCUAACGUACCUAUUAUC
rnacentral:pre_miRNA from 1 species